UUUAUUGAAACUUCGGUCGAUUUAAUUUAAUUCUAGUGGCGGACGGGUGAGUAACGCGUGGGUAACCUGCCUUAUACAGGGGAAUAACAGUCAGAAAUGGCUGCUAAUACCGCAUAAGCGCACAGAGCUGCAUGGCUCAGUGUGAAAAACUCCGGUGGUAUAAGAUAGACCCGCGUUGGAUUAGCUUGUUGGUGGGGUAACGGCCCACCAAGGCGACGAUCCAUAGCCGGCCUGAGAGGGUGAACGGCCACAUUGGGACUGAGACACGGCCCAGACUCCUACGGGAGGCAGCAGUGGGGAAUAUUGCACAAUGGGGGAAACCCUGAUGCAGCGACGCCGCGUGAAGGAAGAAGUAUCUCGGUAUGUAAACUUCUAUCAGCGGGGAAGAUAGUGACGGUACCUGACUAAGAAGCCCCGGCUAACUACGUGCCAGCAGCCGCGGUAAUACGUAGGGGGCAAGCGUUAUCCGGAUUUACUGGGUGUAAAGGGAGCGUAGACGGUGUGGCAAGUCUGAUGUGAAAGGCAUGGGCUCAACCUGUGGACUGCAUUGGAAACUGUCAUACUUGAGUGCCGGAGGGGUAAGCGGAAUUCCUAGUGUAGCGGUGAAAUGCGUAGAUAUUAGGAGGAACACCAGUGGCGAAGGCGGCUUACUGGAC
rnacentral:rRNA from 1 species